AGCGUUGACACAAGGGAGUGUGCCGGUACGCAUUGCCUUGCAGAGCUUUCAGGAGGGGUUGUGCAGUGUUACCUCAAACCGGCUAGGCCAAGAGCCGAAGGAAAAUGCU
rnacentral:sRNA from 1 species